UGCAAGUCGAGCGGAGACAGUGAGUAGCUUGCUAUGAGCUGUUUUAGCGGCGGACGGGUGAGUAACGCGUGAGCAACCUUUCCCAGACAGGGGAAUAACACACCGAAAGGUGUACUAAUACCGCAUAAGACCACGGGAUCACAUGGUUCUGAGGUAAAAGAUUUAUCGGUUUGGGGUGGGCUCGCGUCCGAUCAGGUAGUUGGUGAGGUAACGGCCCACCAAGCCGACGAUCGGUAGCCGACCUGAGAGGGUGAUCGGCCACAUUGGGACUGAGACACGGCCCAAACUCCUACGGGAGGCAGCAGUGGGGAAUAUUGGGCAAUGGAGGAAACUCUGACCCAGCAACGCCGCGUGGAGGAAGAAGGUUUUCGGAUCGUAAACUCCUGUCCUUGGAGACGAGUAGAAGACGGUAUCCAAGGAGGAAGCCCCGGCUAACUACGUGCCAGCAGCCGCGGUAAUACGUAGGGGGCAAGCGUUGUCCGGAAUAAUUGGGCGUAAAGGGCGCGUAGGCGGCUCGGUAAGUCUGGAGUGAAAGUCCUGCUUUUAAGGUGGGAAUUGCUUUGGAUACUGUCGGGCUUGAGUGCAGGAGAGGUUAGUGGAAUUCCCAGUGUAGCGGUGAAAUGCGUAGAGAUUGGGAGGAACACCAGUGGCGAAGGCGACUAACUGGACUGUAACUGACGCUGAGGCGCGAAAGUGUGGGGAGCAAACAGGAUUAGAU
rnacentral:rRNA from 1 species